rfam:Salmo salar isolate Sally breed double haploid chromosome ssa14, whole genome shotgun sequence.
UUCCCUGUGGCUCAGUUGGUAGAGCAUGGUGUUUGCAACGCCAGCAUGGUGUGUGCAACGCCAGGGAUGUGGGUUUGAUUCCCACGGGGAGG